rnacentral:rRNA from 1 species
GACGAAGGGGGCUAGCGUUGUUCGGAUUUACUGGGCGUAAAGAGCGCGUAGGCGGCUUGAUAAGUUGGAAGUGAAAUCCCAGGGCUCAACCCUGGAACUGCUUUCAAAACUGUCAAGCUAGAGUAUGGUAGGGGGUGAUGGAAUUCCUAGUGUAGAGGUGAAAUUCUUAGAUAUUAGGAGGAACACCGGUGGCGAAGGCGGUCACCUGGGCCAUUACUGACGCUGUGGCGCGAAAGCGUGGGGAGCAAACAGGAUUAGAUACCCGGGUAGUCC